AGAAUCAACGCUGGCGGCGUGCCUCAGACAUGCAAGUCGAACGCGAAAGUCCCCUUCGGGGGACAAGUAGAGUGGCGCACGGGUGAGUAACACGUAGGUAAUCUACCUUUGGAUGGGGAAUAACAACCGGAAACGGUUGCUAAUACCGCAUAAUGCAGCGGCACCUAAUGGUGACA
rnacentral:rRNA from 1 species